GAAAUACUAGUUAAAUAAUAACAAUGCCUUGUCAAGACAUAGUUACCUCAGGUGUACUUCU
rnacentral:tRNA from 1 species